GUGAGGAUACAGUGAGAAGACAGCCAUCUGCAAAUCAUGGAGCACGUCCGCAUCAGACAGAGCAUCUGCUGAUCUUGGACUUCCCCACCUUCAGAACUCCUGGGCUAGCCUCCUGGAUGAUAACACCACGUGGUCCAGUCAUCCCAGUCCACAGCUCACCAACCAUCCUAAACCAGCCAGCUGCCAGCCAAACCAGCAACUGACUGCAGAGACCUCCGUGGGCUCAUCAAGGAAAAACUGGUAGAGUCAACCACAAAUGAUAUGAUUUCACAAAUCCAUGAAAACUAAAGAGAACAUCCAUUAAGAAAAAGAAGAGCAAAUCAAAGUUGAAGCUAACUUGAAUUCUGAAUUCUCAGCGUCUCACAGGCAACUCUGUCUUCUUGAUUUAUUUAGUUUCCCAGUGGAACUGUGCCCAGUCGUGCAUUUUAGGAGUGUGUCAGGAAAAAAAAAAAGGUGAAGUCAUAGAUUCUUGGCAUCUCAGUGUUGGAUGCAGCCAGACUCCAAGAAAAUGAACUAUUAAUCA